rnacentral:rRNA from 1 species
UAAGCCUGUGAAGGUGUGUCGUGAGGCAUGCUGGAGGUAUCAGAAGUGCGAAUGCUGACAUAAGUAACGAUAAAGCGGGUGAAAAGCCCGCUCGCCGGAAGACCAAGGGUUCCUGUCCAACGUUAAUCGGGGCAGGGUGAGUCGACCCCUAAGGCGAGGCCGAAAGGCGUAGUCGAUGGGAAACGGGUUAAUAUUCCCGUACUUGGUGUUACUGCGAAGGGGGGACGGAGAAGGCUAUGUUGGCCGGGCGACGGUUGUCCCGGUUUAAGCGUGUAGGUGUGUGUUCCAGGUAAAUCCGGUUCACUUUAACACUGAGGCGUGACGACGAGGCACUACGGUGCUGAAGCAACAAAUGCCCUGCUUCCAGGAAAAGCCUCUAAGCAUCAGGUAACAUCAAAUCGUACCCCAAACCGACACAGGUGGUCAGGUAGAGAAUACCAAGGCGCUUGAGAGAACUCGGGUGAAGGAACUAGGCAAAAUGGUGCCGUAACUUCGGGAGAAGGCACGCUGACACGUAGGUGAAGUGAUUUACUCAUGGAGCUGAAGUCAGUCGAAGAUACCAGCUGGCUGCAACUGUUUAUUAAAAACACAGCACUGUGCAAACACGAAAGUGGACGUAUACGGUGUGACGCCUGCCCGGUGCCGGAAGGUUAAUUGAUGGGGUCAGCGCAAGCGAAGCUCCUGAUCGAAGCCCCGGUAAACGGCGGCCGUAACUAUAACGGUCCUAAGGUAGCGAAAUUCCUUGUCGGGUAAGUUCCGACCUGCACGAAUGGCGUAAUGAUGGCCAGGCUGUCUCCACCCGAGACUCAGUGAAAUUGAACUCGCUGUGAAGAUGCAGUGUACCCGCGGCAAGACGGAAAGACCCCGUGAACCUUUACUAUAGCUUGACACUGAACAUUGAGCCUUGAUGUGUAGGAUAGGUGGGAGGCUUUGAAGUGUGGACGCCAGUCUGCAUGGAGCCGACCUUGAAAUACCACCCUUUAAUGUUUGAUGUUCUAACGUGGACCCGUGAUCCGGGUUGCGGACAGUGUCUGGUGGGUAGUUUGACUGGGGCGGUCUCCUCCUAAAGAGUAACGGAGGAGCACGAAGGUUGGCUAAUCCUGGUCGGACAUCAGGAGGUUAGUGCAAUGGCAUAAGCCAGCUUGACUGCGAGCGUGACGGCGCGAGCAGGUGCGAAAGCAGGUCAUAGUGAUCCGGUGGUUCUGAAUGGAAGGGCCAUCGCUCAACGGAUAAAAGGUACUCCGGGGAUAACAGGCUGAUACCGCCCAAGAGUUCAUAUCGACGGCGGUGUUUGGCACCUCGAUGUCGGCUCAUCACAUCCUGGGGCUGAAGUAGGUCCCAAGGGUAUGGCUGUUCGCCAUUUAAAGUGGUACGCGAGCUGGGUUUAGAACGUCGUGAGACAGUUCGGUCCCUAUCUGCCGUGGGCGCUGGAGAACUGAGGGGGGCUGCUCCUAGUACGAGAGGACCGGAGUGGACGCAUCACUGGUGUUCGGGUUGUCAUGCCAAUGGCACUGCCCGGUAGCUAAAUGCGGAAGAGAUAAGUGCUGAAAGCAUCUAAGCACGAAACUUGCCCCGAGAUGAGUUCUCCCUGAGACUUAAAG